GACGAACGCUGGCGGCGUGCUUAACACAUGCAAGUCGAACGGAAAGGCCCUUCGGGGUACUCGAGUGGCGAACGGGUGAGUAACACGUGGGUGAUCUGCCCUGCACUUUGGGAUAAGCCUGGGAAACUGGGUCUAAUACCGAAUAGGACCACGCGCUUCAUGGUGUGUGGGGGAAAGCUUUUGCGGUGUGGGAUGGGCCCGCGGCCUAUCAGCUUGUUGGUGGGGUAAUGGCCUACCAAGGCGACGACGGGUAGCCGGCCUGAGAGGGUGACCGGCCACACUGGGACUGAGAUACGGCCCAGACUCCUACGGGAGGCAGCAGUGGGGAAUAUUGCACAAUGGGCGCAAGCCUGAUGCAGCGACGCCGCGUGAGGGAUGACGGCCUUCGGGUUGUAAACCUCUUUCAAUAGGGACGAAGCGAAAGUGACGGUACCUAUAGAAGAAGCACCGGCCAACUACGUG
rnacentral:rRNA from 1 species